rnacentral:tRNA from 1 species
GCGCCUUUACCUCAGCCGGAUAGAGGACUCGGCUACGAACCGAGGCGUCGGGGGUUCGAAUCCCUCAAGGCGCGCCA